CCUACGGGAGGCUGCAGUGGGGAAUAUUGGACAAUGGGCGAAAGCCUGAUCCAGCCAUGCCGCGUGUGUGAAGAAGGCCUUCGGGUUGUAAAGCACUUUCAGUGGGGAAGAAAGCCUUGGGGCUAAUACCCUCGAGGAAGGACAUCACCCACAGAAGAAGCACCGGCUAACUCCGUGCCAGCAGCCGCGGUAAUACGGAGGGUGCGAGCGUUAAUCGUAAUUACUGGGCGUAAAGCGCGCGUAGGCGGUCUGAUAAGCCGGUUGUGAAAGCCCCGGGCUCAACCUGGGAACGGCAUCCGGAACUGUCAGGCUAGAGUGCAGGAGAGGAAGGUAGAAUUCCCGGUGUAGCGGUGAAAUGCGUAGAGAUCGGGAGGAAUACCAGUGGCGAACGCGGCCUUCUGGACUGACACUGACGCUGAGGUGCGAAAGCGUGGGUAGCAAACAGGAUUAGAUACCCCAGUAGUC
rnacentral:rRNA from 1 species